CUGACGUUAGCGGCGGACGGGUGAGUAACACGUGGGUAACCUACCUAUAAGACUGGGAUAACUCCGGGAAACCGGGGCUAAUACCGGAUAACACAUGAAACCGCAUGGUUUCAUGAUUAAAGACGGUUUUGCUGUCACUUAUAGAUGGACCCGCGGCGUAUUAGCUAGUUGGUAAGGUAACGGCUUACCAAGGCAACGAUACGUAGCCGACCUGAGAGGGUGAUCGGCCACACUGGAACUGAGACACGGUCCAG
rnacentral:rRNA from 1 species